UUUGAGCCAUAUUUCUUCUUCCCUCUCGGUUACAUGUAGUUAAUUUCAGAAAGGAGAAUUCUUGGGCCUGUUUAGAAAAGGUAGGAGGGACCCUAUAUGUUGAAAGGGGAUUGAGGAGUGAACUUAUCUCAAGGUUUUAUAAAUCAAAACCAGUUAAAGGUGGGAGCACAAUAGAUAGCACUCCAAACCCUGUAUUGCCAGCUGAGCCGUGAAGAGCCUUAUUGAAGAUCCAGAUCAUGUAAAUUUAUUUUGAGCAAUUGCUAGCUAAUGUAACCACAAGAGUACAUGUAUGUCUUUAUUUUAUUAGUUUGAUGCUCCACGUAAUCUUGGGUUAGGUCCUAGUCUUUUGGGCUAUUUUGGAAUGUAAUUAUAUACAUUGGUGCUAGGGAGCAGACCUCUAAAAUGUACGGGCCGCUAUAAAAUUGUUGGGGAAGUUUGAUUUAUAGUGGAGAUUCUUAGGAAAAAAAAAUUUCUACGAGUAGCUUUAUAUUUUGGAUUAUAAUAGCUAUGUGCUAGCAGAUGAAGGUUUUAUUCGA